rnacentral:rRNA from 1 species
UCGAGAAUCUUUGUCAAUGGGCGAAAGCCUGAACAAGCGAUGCCGCGUGCGGGAUGAAGGCCUUCGGGUUGUAAACCGCUGUCAGUUGGGAGGAAGGCUCCGUGAAGAGCGGAGUUUGACCUAUCUUCAGAGGAAGUACGGACUAAGUUCGUGCCAGCAGCCGCGGUAACACGAACCGUACGAACGUUAUUCGGAAUUAUUGGGCUUAAAGGGUGCGUAGGCGGCGCUAUAAGUCGGGUGUGAAAGCCCACGGCUCAACCGUGGAAUUGCGCCCGAUACUGUAGUGCUAGAGGGAGACAGGGGUGAGCGGAACUGAUGGUGGAGCGGUGAAAUGCGUUGAUAUCAUCAGGAACACCGGUGGCGAAAGCGGCUCACUGGGUCUCUUCUGACGCUGAGGCACGAAAGCUAGGGUAGCGAACGGGAUUAGAUACCCGUGUAGUCC